CAGCAGUCAGAGGUGUGUUCAGUCGCUAGGGACAAAAAGCAUUCUCUUUGGAAUAACCAGCAGCUGCCCGAACAGAACAUCCCUGUUACGGACAGACAGGCAGAGGUGGGAGAAUGGAUACAAUUUAUAAUACUAAGAUUUUUUUGGCAAAAUGUCCUUGACAAUCCCUAAAAAGACAUGAACAGCUGCUUUCUUGGAUUGAAGGUGAAUGCCAAGAAGAUUACAGCAGAGCUCUAGAGACCCGACAGCAACUUUAGGAAUCAUAACCAGUAAAUAGAGCCCCUGGGGAAACCAGCUCUAAUUCACAACUACCUUACAGCAAUAUACUGUAAUGAGAAGCCUGACUUAGCAAGGGAGACAUUCUGCUUUAUCAGAUGGCCAUGGUUUACCUACUGAUCUACUGUUAAUCAUUUACUAUAAUGACUAUCCUAUUCUGGUGAAGUCAUAAAGGAGCCAGCAGGUACAAUGCACCUGCAUAUCGCACUGGACUGGGUAUCUGCAAGCUUGUGAACCUUGGACUCCACCCUAUGGUUUAUUGCUCCAUAGCUGCCUCACUUCACUCUUCAAAAUGGCCCUUAGUCGAAUAGGGCUUGGCCGCUGCUCCUGCUGUUUCUGGCUGGCUGUGGCCUUUGAUGUUUUUGGUUUGGUUGUGCUACUGAUUGGGGUCUUUGCAAAUGUUUUCUUCUAUGACUUUCUUAUUUAUGCCGGAGCUAUUGUCAUCUUCCUCAGUCUUAUUUGGUGGGUGUUCUGGUACACAGGUAACAUUGAGGUGCCACCAGAGGAGUUAGCUGAUGAUGUUGGUCUGAGUAAGAAAAACAAUGGCGUCUUGGGUCUGGUCAGAACACUUUCUGGUCGCAUUUCCAGAAGUUUCAGAAGUAGAGGCUCAAGAGCAUCUAGUCCAGGACAAAGAAGAGACAGAGCACCUAGACCAAACCGCCUUGAGAGACCAGUGACAGUUCCUAUGACUACACAACUUGGCAGUAUUUCAGCCUCUUUAGAAAAAGAAAGAUGCCACACAGCACCUCAAUGCAAGCAUACAUCUCCUAUUGUGUAAUUAUUCAGGUGCAUACCUCAGAAGACCCAACCAGCCAGGAUGCUUUCUUAUUGAAGUGAAAGAAUCCAUGGUGUCCCUGGCCUUACUAAGCCACAGAUGUUAUUGGAUAUAAAAGCAUGCAGUUUUAAAAUAUCCAAAGGACUAAAGUGAUGCCUCAAUAUUUUUGUAUUACUGCCUAAUUUUGGUUCAUCCUGUACAAGGAAUUAUUGGAUCAAAUAUGACAGUUAUCAUUCCAGUUAAGUAACUCUAUAAAAUAUGUUUGUUGUUCAAUGGCCAUGUAGAGCAUCUACAAGCAUUUUCAUUUUUAAUUGCGGAGUUUUAAAAUAAGGCAGGCUUUUCAUGCGUCUCAAGGCUCAUCUAAGGACAAAAUCUACUUGUGGGUAGAAUAUGAGGAUUCAACAAGCAUUCCAGAAGUUAUGAAUCUGCGUUGCUAUGGCAAUAGAGCAUUUCCAGUUUCAGUUAUGACAUUUCAAAGUGGAGUGAUGGAUUUUCAACUUCUGUUUUGAUAUAAAUGGUGGUCUAAACAAAAACCAAAGAAUAGAUUACUUUCUGUGGCAACAUUUAUGGUUCCAUAGUUAAAAGCCAACAUGUUAAUAUCAGCCUUUUGGGCCCUUAGGUUCCAUCUGAUCCCUGUCAAAAUGCUGCUAUUGUAUGAAUUUUACAUUUUAUAUCUUCUAUGUUAGUGACAUAGCAAAGCAUCUGGUAUAUGCCUAAAUCCUUCCCUGAGCAUUAACAUCCAGUAUCCUGUACUCCCACGAGUACAACUUAAGUAUCAUCCUAUACAAAGUCAAUGUUCUUUUCCACUGUAAUUAAAUAGAAAUAAUACAAAUUCCUUAAGAAGUGAAGUUAUCUGUGAAUUUUGCUCUUUUACGUUUGGGUAAGAGGCAAAACUCAUUCUUGUCUCAGCAAUUAUCCAUCAUACUCUUAAUAUAUUGUAGGCAAGAUUCAGCAUCGGGACUACAAUAACACAUGACUGAGAAGAAGGGCGGUUCCACUUCCUCAGUACCAGAAGCUCAAAGACGAAAUGCUGAUGGUUGCAAACUAUAGUCUACCUUUUCCAAGCUGAUGGUAAACACACACACAGCACAGAUAUUCUGUAUGCUAACACCUUCAGCCAUCCAGUAACUGUCACAUUCCAUUCAAAGAGUAGAACUUCUUUAAAUCACUGUUGCUAAGAACUAUGCAUGGACUAACAGAAUAUUUUUUUAGAUUGCCAUCCACUCUUUUAACCUCCAUGCAUGUCUACUGAAAUCUAGUCCAAUGCAUAGUACCUGAGAAACCAGGGUGGCAUCUGCAGAGGGUGCAGAAGCUUUGGAGCAAAACUGAUAUUGUUAACAUAGUUUCACCUGUUCCUGUACUUCAUAGCAUACAAAUAUUUGUAUUAUUUCUUCAUUAACCUUAAGGGGGACAUUUUGACAGUUCAUCCUGCAAUCUCUUUGCAGCACGGAGUGUUGGAAAUGAAAAUAUUUUCUAGCAAUACUUGGAGAUGGGUACUGACAAAUGUAAGAGUGAGAAGGGGCUGCCAACUUUACCUCAAAUCCACUUGGUCUGGCAAUCUGCUAAACAAAUGGAUGAAUACUAUUUGCCAAUAAUCUGCAUGACCAACAAAAUCCAACAAUAUUGGUUGGGUGCCUGCUUAAGUGGCCCAUGUAUGGUUCCCUCCAGUCAUUCUUUGUAAAUAUCAGUUUGUUAAUUAUUGAUGGCCUACAGUCCUUUCGUCUCAUAGACAGGUCUCCUGAUUUUCUGUAAAAAUCAUUCAAUUCCCAGUUCCCGUCUAAUCGGCAACCAAUGAUUAUGCUGCAAAAAUGUAUUUUGCCUAUUUUUUAAUAACAAAAAAAGGAUUUUUUUAAUAAAUUAAAUGAUACAACUGAA